GAUGAAGAACGUAGCGAAACGCGAUAUGUAAUGUGAAUUGCAGAAUUCAGUGAAUCAUCGAAUCUUUGAACGCACAUUGCGCCCGCCAGUAUUCUGGCGGGCAUGCCUGUUCGAGCGUCAUUUCAACCAUCAAGCCCUGCUUGCGUUGGGGUCCUGCGGCUGCCCGCAGGCCCUGAAAACCAGUGGCGGGCUCGCUAGUCACACCGAGCGCAGUAAUACAUCUCGCUUUGGGCGUGCGGCGGGUUCUUGCCGUUAAACACCCCCUUUUUACCAAGGUUGACCUCGGAUCAGGUAGGAAUACCCGCUGAACUUAAGCAUAUCAAUAAGCGGAGGA
rnacentral:misc_RNA from 1 species